UCUUCGAUAGUAUAGUGGUGAGUAUACCCGCUUGUCAAACAACUCGCGGGUGACCGGGGUUCAAUUCCCCGUCGGAGAG